rnacentral:SRP_RNA from 1 species
GCCAUGAGACAAUGCUUCACUUACGAAUCGUGUCAGGUCCGGAAGGAAGCAGCACUAAGUAUGUUGAGACAUGUGUCUUAUGUUUAU